rnacentral:rRNA from 1 species
AUGGAUGUUCGGUGCAAGAAUUUAGUGAACCCUGUAUGCGACUGGCUCGGUGAGAUUUACGAGCCAGCCUCCAGGGAAUUUGUGAUUCCGGGACGUGGAAGACUGCCGUUAGACGAGGAAUCCGUGUUCUGCACGUUGGGUGUGCCCCAUGGAGAGAUCAAAGUCCCGUAUGAGGUCAAUAAUAAGAUUGAGGAAACGUUGUUUGCCCGUUUGUUUUCUGGGUUGUCAUCCAUGUCGAACACGACCGUGCUGGCAAAUUCACUGGAGGGGAUGACAACCCAUGGCGAGGUUUUCAAGAUGAAGCUACUCAUGUACCUGAUCUCAGCUGUUUUUGCGCCAACCACAUCUCUUCGCCCAAGCAACAAAUGCUUCCCCAUCCUGGUUAAUGCUCUAUCUCUACUACUUUUAUUUUUCCUUCAAUCUUUUGACUCCUAUGUCAUCUGUAAGCUAGUCAUUGCCAGUAUUUUGAUGUUUUCUCAUUUGAUUUCUGAUGCAGCAACUUCUUGUCCUGAAAUUUGUGUCGUGCAGGCAAAACUGAAAGAUGUGAAGAACAUGAAUUGGUGUAAGUUCAUUGCGGACUUCCUGCAUGAUGCAUUCUCAAACAAGAUGUACCAGAAGGGUUGUCGACUCCAUUUAAUGGUAUGUUUCUACUAG